rnacentral:rRNA from 1 species
UGAACGCUGGCGGCAUGCCUUACACAUGCAAGUCGACCGGCAGCGCGGGAGCAAUCCUGGCGGCGAGUGGCGAACGGGUGAGUAAUACAUCGGAACGUGCCCAAUCGUGGGGGAUAACGCAGCGAAAGCUGUGCUAAUACCGCAUACGAUCUACGGAUGAAAGCAGGGGAUCGCAAGACCUUGCGCGAAUGGAGCGGCCGAUGGCAGAUUAGGUAGUUGGUGAGGUAAAGGCUCACCAAGCCUUCGAUCUGUAGCUGGUCUGAGAGGACGACCAGCCACACUGGGACUGAGACACGGCCCAGACUCCUACGGGAGGCAGCAGUGGGGAAUUUUGGACAAUGGGCGAAAGCCUGAUCCAGCCAUGCCGCGUGCAGGAUGAAGGCCUUCGGGUUGUAAACUGCUUUUGUACGGAACGAAACGGUCUUUUCUAAUAAAGAAGGCUAAUGACGGUACCGUAAGAAUAAGCACCGGCUAACUACGUG